rnacentral:misc_RNA from 1 species
ACUGAGGUAUGAUGCAAUGUUAAAUGCUUCCUUCCCACAAGUGACAUGUUUUAAUUUCUUAUGAAAGUUGAACUUUUCAAUGGUCAAAUUGUCAAUAAAGACAUGUUUUGUUUGCAUUUUUUCAUAUGUUUUAUUGAACUACCUGUAUAUUUGUUUAACCAAGCCAUAAUUUAUACGUAUCUAUGUAAGGUAACAAAUACUGGUAAACAUGGUAAAUAUCUCAGUUACUUUGAGGUUAAUACUAGUAUAUACUAUUUUUAUACAAUAUAUUGUACUUCUAUCAACUAAAACUUUAAAAGAAUUAUCUUAAGCCAAAGCAAAACAACAUUUUAAACCUGUAUUUGUUCAACACUCGUUAUCAUGGACUUUUUUCAAGUUCGUUUGAAUUUUGCACAUACCCAGUGGCUUGUUAUUUAAUUCCUUGUUAUAAAAUCUAAACCACUGUAUGUUGUACAGAGCAUGCUUAGGAGUGAUUUAGCUUAAAUCUUGUUAAUUACAAUAAAAGCUAUGAAUAUGUU